rnacentral:rRNA from 1 species
UGGGGAAUAUUGGACAAUGGGGGCAACCCUGAUCCAGCAAUGCCGCGUGUGUGAAGAAGGUCUUCGGAUUGUAAAGCACUUUCGACGGGGACGAUGAUGACGGUACCCGUAGAAGAAGCCCCGGCUAACUUCGUGCCAGCAGCCGCGGUAAUACGAAGGGGGCUAGCGUUGCUCGGAAUGACUGGGCGUAAAGGGCGUGUAGGCGGUUUACACAGUCAGAUGUGAAAUCCCCGGGCUUAACCUGGGAGCUGCAUUUGAUACGUGUAGACUAGAGUGUGAGAGAGGGUUGUGGAAUUCCCAGUGUAGAGGUGAAAUUCGUAGAUAUUGGGAAGAACACCGGUGGCGAAGGCGGCAACCUGGCUCAUGACUGACGCUGAGGCGCGAAAGCGUGGGGAGCAAACAGGUUA